rnacentral:misc_RNA from 1 species
UUUAUAUAUUGCUUGUUUCAUCUGACUAUACAUAGUCUAAGAGUAUUUGGAGUCCGGCGAGCACGCAUCGGCGCAUCUUUUGUGAAUUGCCGAUGGCUGCUUCCAACGUCUCGCCGAAGCAACGUAAGGUAAACAAGGGUGGGAGUUGGGGAAACCCCGAACUCGGUAAUGAUCCUUCCGCAGGUUCACCUACGGAAA